AACAAAAAGAGCUUUAGUUAGAGCAUAAAUUUAACGAAAAAGGAACGUUCGGGGUGUUUAGAAAGUUCCAUCCACUUGGUACAGUUCCCAUCGAGCUGUCUCCAACUAGCUGCAAGUAGCUCGGAUGGCCAUCGGAAGGGUAAAUUGGUGUUACAUAUAGCUUUAGAGAUCGUUUCGAAUCACAUUGAUAAUGGUGCGAAACGUUCUCCGAAGCAAAAUCAUAAGAGUAACGAUUUCCGCACAGUCGAAAAUGUUUAAGUUGAAUUGUCUUACGGACAGUGAGAUGAGUACGACUGUUUGGAAAUCAAAAAGCGAAUUGUUUUCAUGGUUGACACGUUUGUCAAGCUGCAAAACAAAAUGAAUGAAAUACAAUAUACAAUACUAUACAAAACAAGACAAGAAAAAUGUAUCUUCGAACGCAACAUUGUACAAGUCGCAAUGCAAACUGAAGUCUUAAAAGACGUGUAAAAUGUUGCAAAUUAAGCAAAUAUAUAUGCAUAUAUGGGUAAUGUUUUACGCGCCUUAACCAGUCAAAAUACAAAAUAAAUUGGUAAAUUUCAUAUAACUAGUGAAAUGUUAUACGAAACUUAACAAUUGCCAAAUAAUACAGAUCUAUUUAGAGCGAGAUGGCCAUAGAGAGGCGAUCUCUCUCGUAUAUGAAUCUUGAAAGGAAAGAGAAGGCGAACCGUGCUGGUUUAGAGCGAGAUGGUAAUACUACUUAACUGCUUUAUGAAAAACAUUUGUUUAAAUGUUUCACUUCCAACAUUGCCGCCAUUUUGUUGGCGCUAAAAGUAACGGAAAUUCGAGAUGCUUUUAGGGCUGCCACCUUGGUUUUCAGGGUGACCAGAAUUGAAACUUGAAUUACGUAUCACAAAUAAAGACUAAAUUGAUAUUGCAAA
rnacentral:sRNA from 13 species